CGAUAGCGGCAAGAUGGCGGACCGUGGCGGCGUGGGUGAAGCCCCAGCUGUUGGAGCGUCUCCUGCAUCUGUCCCUGGCCUAAACCCGACGCUAGGCUGGAGGAAGCGACUGCGGGCCGGGCUGGCGGGGACUGGGGCCUCGUUGUGGUUCGUGGCGGGGCUGGGGCUGCUUUACGCUCUGAGGAUCCCUUUGAGGCUGUGUGAGAAUUUGGCAGCGGUGACUGUAUUUUUAAAUUCAUUGACACCCAAAUUCUAUGUGGCACUUACAGGGACCUCUUCAUUGAUAUCAGGACUAAUAUUUAUAUUUGAAUGGUGGUACUUCCAUAAGCAUGGCACAUCUUUUAUUGAGCAAGUAUCUGUAAGCCAUUUGCAACCACUGAUGGGAGGAACAGAGAGCAGCAUUUCAGAACCAGGUUCUCCUUCGAGGAACAGAGAAAAUGAAACCAGCAGACAGAAUUUGUCAGAUGGAAUUUCACUCUUGUUGCCCAGGCUGGAGUGCAAUGUCGUGAUCUUGGCUCACUGCAACCUCCACCUCCCGGGUUCAAGCGAUUCUCCUGCCCCAGCCUCCCGAGUAGCUGGGAUUACAAGCACCUGCCACCAUGCCAGAGUAAUUUUUGUAUUUUUAGUAGAGAUGGGUUUUCGCCAUGUUGGCCAGACUGGUCUCAAACCCCUGACCUCAGAUUAUUUAUCCACCUCGGCCUCCCAAAGUGCUGGGAUUACAGGCAUGAGCCACCAGGCCUGGCCCAUUCUGUCUUCUUUUCUUUCAACAUUCAUAGCCCCAUAUCUAGGCCCUUAAACAUCUCUUCCCUUGGCUAUUGCUA
rnacentral:sRNA from 1 species